UAGGGAAUAUUGCAAAAUGGGCGAAAGCCCGAUGCAGCAACGCCGCGUGGGCGAUGAAGGCCUUCGGGUCGUAAAGCCCUUUUUGAGGGGAUGAGGAAGGACAGUACCCUCAGAAUAAGCCUCGGCUAACUACGUGCCAGCAGCCGCGGUAAAACGUAGGAGGCGAGCGUUAUCCGGAUUUACUGGGCGUAAAGCGCGUGCAGGCGGAUUGGAGAGUUGGAUGUGAAAGCUCCCGGCUUAACUGGGAGAGGUCGUUCAAUACUUCCAGUCUUGAGUGCAGUAGAGGUAAGUGGAAUUCCGGGUGUAGUGGUGAAAUGCGUAGAUAUCCGGAGGAACACCAGUGGCGAAAGCGGCUUCCUGGACUGUAACUGACGCUCAGACGCGAAAGCUAGGGUAGCAAAC
rnacentral:rRNA from 1 species